UUCCUCAUGGUGCUUAUCACAGACUGUGUUCUUACACUAACUGUAUAGAAAGAGGAAGGAAAAGUAAACCUAGCCCAUACUCCUCAGUUUAGGCCCUGUGCCUGGUCUGGAGUGGGAAGACAUGG
rnacentral:snoRNA from 1 species